AACCGACACAGGUGGUCAGGUAGAGAAUACCAAGGCGCUUGAGAGAACUCGGGUGAAGGAACUAGGCAAAAUGGUGCCGUAACUUCGGGAGAAGGCACGCUGACACGUAGGUGAAGUGAUUUACUCAUGGAGCUGAAGUCAGUCGAAGAUACCAUCUGGCUGCAACUGUUUAUUAAAAACACAGCACUGUGCAAACACGAAAGUGGACGUUUACGGUGUGACUCCUGCCCGGU
rnacentral:rRNA from 1 species